rnacentral:rRNA from 1 species
GAUGAACGCUGGCGGCGUGCCUAAUACAUGCAAGUCGAGCGAACGGACGAGAAGCUUGCUUCUCUGAUGUUAGCGGCGGACGGGUGAGUAACACGUGGAUAACCUACCUAUAAGACUGGGAUAACUUCGGGAAACCGGAGCUAAUACCGGAUAAUAUUUUGAACCGCAUGGUUCAAAAGUAAAAGACGGUCUUGCUGUCACUUAUAGAUGGAUCCGCGCUGCAUUAGCUAGUUGGUAAGGUAACGGCUUACCAAGGCAACGAUGCAUAGCCGACCUGAGAGGGGGAUCGGCCACACUGGAACUGAGACACGGUCCAGACUCCUACGGGAGGCAGCAGUAGGGAAUCUUCCGCAAUGGGCGAAAGCCUGACGGAGCAACGCCGCGUGAGUGAUGAAGGUCUUCGGAUCGUAAAACUCUGUUAUUAGGGAAGAACAUAUGUGUAAGUAACUGUGCACAUCUUGACGGUACCUAAUCAGAAAGCCACGGCGAACUACGU